CAAGGCGGUGAUGAAUGAUCGGCCGAUUGCCGAGGGAUUAGAGUCGUCACGGUUACCUGUGCUUUGACAAAGUGGUCCUGAUUGGUGACCAAGGAACUCCAUGUGGGGGUCAUAUCUCAGAAUGGACUAGAGUUGGGUUAUGUGUAUGUGUUUAGUCUCAUUUGAACCUACGUGUGGUCCGAACAUCAGGAAGGGGCUAAGGGUGAGCUGCUGUUCCCUUGGACACUGAUGCUGCACGACAGAGAUUGGCGAGGUCCCGGCAGCAAUGUGACCAUGCUGACACCGGAGAACCCUCUAAACGGGUGCUGGUGGACACUGAUGAAUCGGCGGUCGGAGGAAUCGAAUGCAGGCCUAAUCAGUGCAUGGAUCUCCCUGCAGCAACAUUUUUCAGUUUUGUCCUGCCUUAUCAGGUGAAGGCCAUCAGGUACAUGGUGGCUCAGGGCCUGGGUUUGAUUCCUGGCCCCUUUCUGAAUGGAGUUUGCAUGCCUCCCCUAUGAAUGCCUGGUUUCUCUCCAGGUACCUUGGCUUCCUCCCACAGUCAGUAAAAAGCACCCCUCAGGUGAUGCAGCACUUUAAGGGUUAAGUCGGCAGCAUACUGGAUCUCUGCAGAGGUGACAGAUGCUUCCUAUCCCACCCAGCACCACAGGGGAACGGGAGACACUCACCAUACCAAUGAGCCACCGUCUGACACACACGCGUGCACACACACAUGCACAUUUAUAUGCAAGCAUGCACACGGACACACAUAUGCACAGGAACACGCCGACUUGGACACACACACUUCACCUUCUGGGCUAUAUAAAAGAUGUCAUAUUUAUGAUAAUCAGCUGUAUGAGCAUCAUUUAUGCAUCUUCUUGAUUUGUAUGAAUGUAAUAAAACAAAUAGAUGUGCAUGACUUCUCUUCCAGCAGGAGUCAGAAAGAUGUGAUCUUUUGUCUCAACACAUGACCUUUUAUAGAGGGCCGUCGCACACGACAGCCAGGAACAGUGGCAUAAAUACAGAUAGUCUCAAGCAUAUGGUCCAAACACAGUACAUACACACAGGCAGACACAUACACACGCAAUAAAAGUGACAGCUGUCGUCAUGAUGGAGCACCCAAAGAAGAGGAAGUGAAGGCUUAGGCACCACGCAACAUGGUGUCGAGAAGACCCGCUAUUCAUUUUCAGCUUAAUAUGUUCCAGCCCAUUGGAAAAACAUUGCAGCAUAUAAUGUAAGCAAUUUCAUAUGCGCACACGGCUCCCACACAGCUUUCCUCUCCGAAGCACCGGGCGAAAUGAAGAGACCAGAUUAAGAUGACGGUUGACUGACUUCAAAAAUAACCCAGAGCCUGAACAGGGUGGGGAGAUGUCCAGUCGUGUGUAGCUGCAGGAAAACAUCUAAACUUCUAUAUGUGUUUGUGUCUCUGUGUUUGUGUGUUAAUUAAUCUGGUCCCAUCAGUGUCUCUGUUCUGCACUUCUGAACACUCGCUCUCCAUCGCCUGGUGUGGUGUUUAGCCAGCAAAGCGGAAAAGAUCAUCAGCGGUAUGACAUGGAACGGAUGGCUCUACAAACAUGGAUGCAAAUAGGGGGGGAAAACUGGAAAGGACACAUACAUUUUCCUUAGAAAUGCCUGGCCAUUGACACUUUUUAUCUUUAAGAUCCAAUUUUUUUUCCUUUUUUUUAGGACUACCAUUCUCUGUCAUAUAUAAAAUAAAAUAAAAUGACUAUUACCUCCAUUUAUACAUCACAUUUUUUUUUUACUUAAUGGGAAUUUGAAAAAUCCUCAUUAAGUAAAAAAAAACUAACAUUACGGCAUGAAUAUAUGAUGUUGAUCUAUCUGAUUAUAGACAAAAAAAAUAGUAGUAGUUCUCCCAGUGUACUUGCAUUAUUUCCUAUGCUGCCAUGUGUGCUGGCAUUUUGAAAAAGGUCUUAUGUUGGUGUAACUGAGAGGAAUAUUUGUUAUCAUACAUUCCUGUCAUAUCUUUGAAGUAUGUCAGUCACAUUGGAAGCACUACUGUUCUGAAUUGUCCACAUGUAUUGGCAUCAAAGGAGUGAAAUUUACUGAGUUUACUUCUUUUUCUGUCAUCAGCUGACCCUCUAAGAAAAAUCACUCCUCUAUAAAUGCUUCAAAAUAGUCACAUAGUAUUAAUUGAUCAGAGUUUUAGUCCAGCUAUCAGUAACAGUUUCCAUUUUACGCAACCUGCAUGCCAGAGUGAGUUAAUAUUCAUUAACCGGAGCAUGCACAGACCACAUAGCAUAAUAUGAGAUUACCCAACAUAAUUUCAAAUCAUUGCUGCAAUAUCUGAGUCACUGUUGCAUUGAUAAGAUAUAUAUUUUAUUUUUUUGCUGUAAAAUUUAUAAGGUGAUGUCAGAACAUUUAUUUCAUAAGAUUUUGGAGAGAAAAGCAGAUUUAGAAGUGUGGUAUUAGUUAUAUGGUGGUAUUAGUUUUGAUGCAUUAAUAAACAGGUGGAUAAAUCUGUAGGUUUUGCUUUUCAAAAUUUGACCUAAAGUUGACAGAUUCUCAAAAAAGAGACACCAAGCACUUCAGAACACAUCCAUACAAAGUCGACACUAUAAUGCUUUUUCUUUCUGGAGGAUAAAUGCUAAGGUGCAUGGAUCCACACACAAACAAAGGAGCAACAGCCUCAGCCAAUCCUCCAGCAUCUUUAUAAGGCUAAAUAAAUGGUGAGCUUGGCAGUGGGUAAAUACAUGUGCUCUCAGCCUGCAGGGCCCAGAUGGCAGCCCAGUCAUUUGCUUUACCUUGUUUUGUUUUAAUUACUACAAUCUACUCUCUAUUUCUAAAAUUAAUCACCACCAACCUGUUCUCUAUAUCUCUCUCCCCAUCUUUUGUGCACACAUAACAGCCAGUAAUCAAAUAUUAAAACUGGCAAAAAAUACACAUAUCAAUGCAACAUAGAGAAACACAGCAAU